rnacentral:tRNA from 1 species
GGCGUGGUGGCAGAGUGCUCUACUGCUCAAGACUAGAAAUCUUGUUCCUUCAGGAGCGUCGGUUCAAAUCUGGCCUACAUCG